UAUAGAGGGCGCGAGCGUUGUCCGGAUUCACUGGGCGUAAAGGGUGCGUAGGUGGUUGGGUAAGUUUGAUGUGAAAUCUCUGAGCUCAACUCAGAAACUGCAUUGAAUACUAUCCGGCUAGAGAAUCGGAGGGGGGACUGGAAUACUUGGUGUAGCAGUGAAAUGCGUAGAUAUCAAGUGGAACACCAGUGGCGAAGGCGAGUCCCUGGACGAUUUCUGACACUGAGGCACGAAAGCUAGGGGAGCAAACAGG
rnacentral:rRNA from 1 species